UGUAUUCACUACUGUAAGUCGCUCUGGAUAAGAGCAUCUGCUAAAUGACUAAAA
rfam:Salmo salar isolate Sally breed double haploid chromosome ssa10, whole genome shotgun sequence.